UACGUAGGGUGCAAGCGUUGUCCGGAAUUACUGGGCGUAAAGGGCUCGUAGGCGGCCAACUAAGUCCGACGUGAAAUCCCAAAGCUUAACUUUGGAACUGCGUCGGAUACUGGAUGGCUUGAAUUCGGGAGAGGGAUGCAGAAUUCCAGGUGUAGCGGUGAAAUGCGUAGAUAUCUGGAGGAAUACCGGUGGCGAAGGCGGCAUCCUGGACCGACAUUGACGCUGAUGAGCGAAAGCUAGGGGAGCAAACGGG
rnacentral:rRNA from 1 species